AGAGCGAACGCUGGCGGCAGGCCUAACACAUGCAAGUCGAGCGCCCGUAGCAAUACGGGAGCGGCAGACGGGAUAGUAACACGUGGGAACGCGCCCUUCGGUUCGGAAUAACUCAGGGAAACUUGAGCUAAUACCGGAUACGCCCUUACGGGGAAAGAUUUAUUGCCGAAGGAACGGCCCGCGUCCGAUUAGCUAGUUGGUGAGGUAAUGGCUCACCAAGGCGACGAUCGGUAGCUGGUCUGAGAGGAUGACCAGCAUCACUGGGACUGAGACACGGCCCAGACUCCUACGGGAGGCAGCAGUGGGGAAUAUUGGACAAUGGGCGCAAGCCUGGAUCCAGCCAUGCCGCGUGGAUGAUGAAGGCCUUAGGGUUGUAAAGUCCUUUUAACGGGGAAGAUAAUGACGGUACCCGUAGAAUAAGCCCCGGCUAACUUCGCGCCAGCAGCCGC
rnacentral:rRNA from 1 species